CCUACGGGUGGCAGCAGUGAGGAAUAUUGGUCAAUGGUCGGGAGACUGAACCAGCCAAGCCGCGUGAGGGAGGAAGGUACAGAGUAUCGUAAACCUCUUUUGUCAGGGAACAAAGGUGGGGACGUGUCCCCGGAUGAGUGUACCUGAAGAAAAAGCAUCGGCUAACUCCGUGCCAGCAGCCGCGGUAAAACGGGGGAGGCGGGGGUUAUCCGAAUUUGUGGGGUUAAAGGGGUGGGCAGGCGGUCUGUUAAGUUAGCGGUAAAAGCCCGGGGCUAAACCCCGACCCGCCGUUGAAACUGGCAGUCUCGAGUUGGAGAGAAGUAUGCGGAAUGCGCGGUGUAGCGGUGAAAUGCAUAGAUAUCGCGCAGAACUCCGAUUGCGAAGGCAGCAUGCCGGCUCCACACUGACGCUGAGGCACGAAAGCGUGGGUAUCGAACAGGAUUAGAUACCCCAGUAGUC
rnacentral:rRNA from 1 species